GAUGAACGCUGGCGGCGUGCCUAAUACAUGCAAGUCGAGCGAACGGAUGAGAAGCUUGCUUCUCUGAUGUUAGCGGCGGACGGGUGAGUAACACGUGGGUAACCUACCUAUAAGACUGGGAUAACUUCGGGAAACCGGAGCUAAUACCGGAUAAUAUUUUGAACCGCAUGGUUCAAAAGUGAAAGACGGUCUUGCUGUCACUUAUAGAUGGAUCCGCGCUGCAUUAGCUAGUUGGUAAGGUAACGGCUUACCAAGGCAACGAUGCAUAGCCGACCUGAGAGGGUGAUCGGCCACACUGGAACUGAGACACGGUCCAGACUCCUACGGGAGGCAGCAGUAGGGAAUCUUCCGCAAUGGGCGAAAGCCUGACGGAGCAACGCCGCGUGAGUGAUGAAGGUCUUCGGCUCGUAAAACUCUGUUAUUAGGGAAGAACAUAUGUGUAAGUAACUGUGCACAUCUUGACGGUACCUAAUCAGAAAGCCACGGCUAACUACGUG
rnacentral:rRNA from 1 species